rnacentral:rRNA from 1 species
UACAGAGGUCCCAAGCGUUGUUCGGAUUCACUGGGCGUAAAGGGUGCAUAGGCGGUCGGGUAAGUCUGGUGUGAAAUCUCACAGCUUAACUGUGAAACUGCAUUGGAUACUAUCCGGCUCGAGGAAUGGAGGGGAGACUGGAAUACUUGGUGUAGCAGUGAAAUGCGUAGAUAUCAAGUGGAACACCAGUGGCGAAGGCGAGUCUCUGGACAUUUCCUGACGCUGAGGCACGAAAGCCAGGGGAGCAAACGGG